rnacentral:rRNA from 1 species
GACGAACGCUGGCGGCGUGCUUAACACAUGCAAGUCGAAGAUAGUGGCGAACGGGUGAGUAUAACGGGGGUAACCUGCCCUCCUUUUUGGGAUAAGCCUUGGAAACGGGGUCUAAUACUGAAUAAAGGGGGAUGGGCUCGCGGCCUAUCAGCUUGGUGGUGGGGUGAUGGAAUACCAAGGUGGUGACGGGUAGCCGGCCUGAGCGGGUGAACUGACACAUUGGGACUGAGAGAAGGCCCAGACGCGUACGGGAGGCAGAAUGGGGGGAGAUUGCAGAAUGGGCGAGAGCCGGAUGCCGCGACGCAGCGUGGGGGAUGAAGGCUUUCGGGUUGUAAACCUCUUUAGCUAUCGAACGGGUAGGUGGAGAGGAAGCGCCGGCUAACUACGUGCCAGCAGCCGCGGUAAUAC